AGCAACUGCUGCCUCAAAUUUCCAGAGAUCGACAGCUCAGGUUUUAAAGUUGCUCGGGGACUUUUCAGGACAUCAUGUCUCUAAGGAAGAAAGUAAGACCGAGUUCUGCCUCAGGGAAGUUAGAAACAUUCAACCUUAGCAGGAGUUGGAAAAGGAUGGCUACAAAUCAUUGGAUGUAGAGAAGUUUAAGCAGAUAAUGAAGAAGUGCAUGAGUCCACAUAGCACGAUUGAUGAGCAAGUUGAAAAGCUUUUCAUGAAAAU
rnacentral:lncRNA from 1 species